rnacentral:rRNA from 1 species
GAUGAACGCUGGCGGCGUGCUUAACACAUGCAAGUCGAACGGUGAACGCGGGAGCUUGCUCCCUCCGGGUCAGUGGCGAACGGGUGAGUAACACGUUCGCAAUCUGCCCUGGACGCUGGGAUAAGCGUUGGAAACGACGUCUAAUACCGGAUACGAGACGUGAAGGCAUCUUCAGCGUCUGGAAGAAACUUCGGUCCAGGAUGAGCUCGCGGCCUAGCAGGCAGUUGGUGAGGUAAUGGCUCACCAAGCCUACGACGGGUAGCCGGCCUGAGAGGGUGACCGGCGACAGUGGGACUGAGGCACGGCGCAGAGUCGUACGGGGGGCAGCAGUGGGGAAUAUUGCACAGUGGGCGCAAGCCUGAUGCAGCAACGCCGCGUGAGGGACGCCGGCCUUCGGGUUGUAAACCUCUUUUAGCAGGGAAGAAGCGAAAGUGACGGUACCUGCAGAAAAAGCACCGGCUAACUACGUGCCAGCCGCCGCCGUAACAC